AUCAAUCACUUUAUGCGCUUUUGGUUUUCUUGAUUAUAGACUUAUGUAUACAUUUGCUUUACCCUUUUUUUCUUCUUCUCUUACUGGUAUCACAAAACGUAAGRAAUAAAUUUCUAAGUAAAAAAGACAGAGAGCAUGAAGUCUUCUCUAUCUUUAACAUGUUCCUGCGGCGGAUGUACUUUACUGCAAUUUUACAGCAAAAAUAGCCAAAGAACGGUCUUCUCGAAGUAAGACGGGGCAAGAAAAUUAAAAAAAUUUUGGAACGCUUCACGAAUUUUUGCGCUCGGACCACGCUAAUCUUCGAACCCAAAUGAACCAAUCACGUCAUUUCAUUUUGCCAACAUUUCGUCCAAUCACGACAAUUGCAUUUUCCAACAUCGGUAACCAAGAGCAACCAGUAUAAAUAGAGGGUAUCCGAUUUCAUUCCACAUCUAAGAUCGUUUCUCGAUCGAAGAACAAAUAGAUUUAUUUGCUGUUGAAAAAAGCGAAAUUUGAGUGAAUUAUUCUCAGUUUGUACCAUUUCACAGAAGAAUAAUCAAUCAGAACGACAUUUCGAGCUACUAGGGUUCUUUCGAAACGGUUUUUGACGGCGAAAUUCCAUCGAACAAAGGCCAGCCUCGCGGUAUUCGAAGGUUGGUGUCUUUGCUUGAAUUAGAUUAUAUUUCUUGCUUGCUUUCUUGCUCUUUUUUCUUUUUGUUUGUGAUUUUUCAGGUAAGAUGGCCCGUAUGCCGAGAUUUAAAACAUUCAAGGACGGAACUUUGAUCCUGAAGUGCACGGAGAAGGCUCGAGAGGUGAGGAACAAGAGCAAGGAUAAGCCAACAGAGAAAUGCCUGCCUCCAAUUGAGGAAACGAGCCCUUGUCUAAGCAUGUGGGAACCAAAUGGAGCUUGACGGAGGGCGCUUAAGCCUUUUGUUUUGCAUGUGCAGUGAACCUGUUGACGUCAUAAAACAUCCGUUAACGACGGCGCAUGACCUGACUUUGAUGGAUGUGUUUGUUACUUCAUGUCCCUACUGCGAAGUUCAACUAAAUUAUGGCAUGCGUACUCAAGGAUUAAUCCAAUGGCUUCAUCCCUACAUGGCUGUUAUUGACGGAGGGAAAGUUUCAAAUACAUAUUUCAAUGUUCUUGCCAGCACAGAAUUUUUGGGAAGGAAGAGAAUAAAGGGAGAGUGAUCUCUUCCGAAACGUCUGGUAGUACAUCUAAUUUUGACUCUGUUAUCUGGUAUCUUUUAUAUUUAUACAGAAUUUUUUGUUAAGUUUUCUCUCCGCAAAACUCUACUGGUUUUUCAGGGCAACCUGUAAAAACUGUUUAGUAUUUUUAAAAGAAAGUCUUUAUAAUCAGUCUUGAUUAUACCUGUCUAA